UCUUUUUGUAGUUUAUAUAAAGUCUGGCCUGCCCCCUGAUUAUUAAAUGGCCGCAGUAUUUUGACUGUGCUAAGGUAGCAUAAUCAUUAGCUUUUUAAUUGAGAGCUGGAAUGAAGGGUUUGAUGAAAAAUUAACUGUCUCUAUUUUAUUAUUAAAAUUUUAUUUUUAAGUUAAAAAGCUUAAAUAUUUUUAUUAGACGAGAAGACCCUAUAGAGUUUUAUAAAUUGUUUAUAUUUUAUAUUUAGUAUUUAAUAUAAAAUUUGAAUUAUUUAUUUGGUUGGGGUGAUUGAAAAAUUUAAUUAACUUUUUUUUUAAUUUUAUAUUUUUAAAUAGAUUAUUGAUCCAAUAUGAAUUGAUUAUAAGAUUAAGUUACCUUAGGGAUAACAGCGUAAUUUUAUUGGAGAGUUCAAAUUAAUAAUAAAGAUUGCGACCUCGAUGUUGGAUUAAAA
rnacentral:rRNA from 1 species